rnacentral:rRNA from 1 species
UACGAAGGGGGCUAGCGUUGCUCGGAAUCACUGGGCGUAAAGCGCACGUAGGCGGAUUGCUAAGUCAGGGGUGAAAUCCUGGAGCUCAACUCCAGAACUGCCUUUGAUACUGGCGAUCUCGAGUCCGGGAGAGGGGGGUGGAAUUCCCAGUGUAGCGGUGAAAUGCGUAGAUAUUGGGAGGAACACCGGUGGCGAAGGCGGCCCCCUGGACCGGUACUGACGCUGAGGCGCGAAAGCGUGGGUAGCAAACGGG